rnacentral:rRNA from 1 species
GGUUAAGCGACUAAGCGUACACGGUGGAUGCCCUGGCAGUCAGAGGCGAUGAAGGACGUGCUAAUCUGCGAUAAGCGUCGGUAAGGUGAUAUGAACCGUUAUAACCGGCGAUUUCCGAAUGGGGAAACCCAGUGUGUUUCGACACACUAUCAUUAACUGAAUCCAUAGGUUAAUGAGGCGAACCGGGGGAACUGAAACAUCUAAGUACCCCGAGGAAAAGAAAUCAACCGAGAUUCCCCCAGUAGCGGCGAGCGAACGGGGAGCAGCCCAGAGCCUGAAUCAGUGUGUGUGUUAGUGGAAGCGUCUGGAAAGGCGCGCGAUACAGGGUGACAGCCCCGUACACAAAAAUGCACAUGCUGUGAGCUCGAUGAGUAGGGCGGGACACGUGGUAUCCUGUCUGAAUAUGGGGGGACCAUCCUCCAAGGCUAAAUACUCCUGACUGACCGAUAGUGAACCAGUACCGUGAGGGAAAGGCGAAAAGAACCCCGGCGAGGGGAGUGAAAAAGAACCUGAAACCGUGUACGUACAAGCAGUGGGAGCACGCUUAGGCGUGUGACUGCGUACCUUUUGUAUAAUGGGUCAGCGACUUAUAUUCUGUAGCAAGGUUAACCGAAUAGGGGAGCCGAAGGGAAACCGAGUCUUAACUGGGCGUUAAGUUGCAGGGUAUAGACCCGAAACCCGGUGAUCUAGCCAUGGGCAGGUUGAAGGUUGGGUAACACUAACUGGAGGACCGAACCGACUAAUGUUGAAAAAUUAGCGGAUGACUUGUGGCUGGGGGUGAAAGGCCAAUCAAACCGGGAGAUAGCUGGUUCUCCCCGAAAGCUAUUUAGGUAGCGCCUCGUGAAUUCAUCUCCGGGGGUAGAGCACUGUUUCGGCAAGGGGGUCAUCCCGACUUACCAACCCGAUGCAAACUGCGAAUACCGGAGAAUGUUAUCACGGGAGACACACGGCGGGUGCUAACGUCCGUCGUGAAGAGGGAAACAACCCAGACCGCCAGCUAAGGUCCCAAAGUCAUGGUUAAGUGGGAAACGAUGUGGGAAGGCCCAGACAGCCAGGAUGUUGGCUUAGAAGCAGCCAUCAUUUAAAGAAAGCGUAAUAGCUCACUGGUCGAGUCGGCCUGCGCGGAAGAUGUAACGGGGCUAAACCAUGCACCGAAGCUGCGGCAGCGACGCUUAUGCGUUGUUGGGUAGGGGAGCGUUCUGUAAGCCUGUGAAGGUGUGCUGUGAGGCAUGCUGGAGGUAUCAGAAGUGCGAAUGCUGACAUAAGUAACGAUAAAGCGGGUGAAAAGCCCGCUCGCCGGAAGACCAAGGGUUCCUGUCCAACGUUAAUCGGGGCAGGGUGAGUCGACCCCUAAGGCGAGGCCGAAAGGCGUAGUCGAUGGGAAACAGGUUAAUAUUCCUGUACUUGGUGUUACUGCGAAGGGGGGACGGAGAAGGCUAUGUUGGCCGGGCGACGGUUGUCCCGGUUUAAGCGUGUAGGCUGGUUUUCCAGGCAAAUCCGGAAAAUCAAGGCUGAGGCGUGAUGACGAGGCACUACGGUGCUGAAGCAACAAAUGCCCUGCUUCCAGGAAAAGCCUCUAAGCAUCAGGUAACAUCAAAUCGUACCCCAAACCGACACAGGUGGUCAGGUAGAGAAUACCAAGGCGCUUGAGAGAACUCGGGUGAAGGAACUAGGCAAAAUGGUGCCGUAACUUCGGGAGAAGGCACGCUGAUACGUAGGUGAAGUCCCUCGCGGAUGGAGCUGAAAUCAGUCGAAGAUACCAGCUGGCUGCAACUGUUUAUUAAAAACACAGCACUGUGCAAACACGAAAGUGGACGUAUACGGUGUGACGCCUGCCCGGUGCCGGAAGGUUAAUUGAUGGGGUCAGCGCAAGCGAAGCUCUUGAUCGAAGCCCCGGUAAACGGCGGCCGUAACUAUAACGGUCCUAAGGUAGCGAAAUUCCUUGUCGGGUAAGUUCCGACCUGCACGAAUGGCGUAAUGAUGGCCAGGCUGUCUCCACCCGAGACUCAGUGAAAUUGAACUCGCUGUGAAGAUGCAGUGUACCCGCGGCAAGACGGAAAGACCCCGUGAACCUUUACUAUAGCUUGACACUGAACAUUGAGCCUUGAUGUGUAGGAUAGGUGGGAGGCUU